UACGGGGGGGACAAGCGUUGUUCGGAUUUACUGGGCGUAAAGGGCGCGUAGGCGGGCCUUCAAGUCGGGUGUGAAAACUGGCGGCUUAACCACCAGCUUGCAUUCGAUACUGUUGGUCUUGAGUACAGGAGAGGAGAGCGGAAUUCCAGGUGUAGCGGUGAAAUGCGUAGAUAUCUGGAAGAACACCAGUAGCGAAGGCGGCUCUCUGGCCUGAUACUGACGCUGAGGCGCGAAGGCAUGGGUAGCAAACAGG
rnacentral:rRNA from 1 species